AAUACUGAUUUUCUAUGCCAGAUAAAGCCAUUGGGUUUUCUACAAAAGGAAUUACUCAAUCAAGGUUAAAGGUUUUCUAACUUUGCCUAAUAGAACCACAAAAUUAUAAGAUUUGAGGAGAAAUAAAAAGAAGUAGCUUCUUCUUCUUUUGGAAUUUCUUGAGUUGGAGGUAUUUCAAUCUGGCACAUGAGCAUACUAGAGCAAGAUGACAAGUCAAGAUGGUGCUGAACAACCUUGAGAAAACAUGUAUGCAAAAAGAUCCUCAAUGGCUUGGUUGCUUACAACAUUAGACCCAUAAAGACUUUUAAGAAAGAAAGCACGAAGUCCAUGAAC